rnacentral:lncRNA from 1 species
CAAAGAUUAUUUAUUUAUUUGAGAGAAAGAGGUGGGGGGGUGUGACAGGGGCAGAGGGAGAGGGAGACAGAGAGAAUUUCUAGCAGAUGCCCCACUGAGCACAAAGCCAAACAUGGGGCUUGAUAUCACAACCCUGAGAUCAUGACCUGAGCUGACAGGGACAUUCAUGUGAGAUUAUCCCAAGUGUUCUGGAAAAGAUUCAGGGUUUUUAAGGCUGGGGUCCAGACUCUUCCUCUCCAUCAGCCACUGAUACACUAGGUAACCUUGAGCAAGACACUUGAUCUCUUUCCAUCUCACCUGAAAAUAGAAAUGAUGACUCCAACAUGUCCCCAUCUUACCUGGCUGCUAUGAAAACCCAAUGAGAUCAUGUUUGUGAGCCUGCUCUGGGAAUUACAAAAACAGCACACCCUUAUGGAAUCUUACGAUGGCUAUUAUUUAAUUUUUAUAACUUGAGGUGAGUGUGGUUCAUUAUUGCUGUAAUUAGUAAUAAUUAUUCUACUAAACCACACCAGAGAAGAGAAUGUUCUCUCAGUGGCUUCUUCAGCAGGAUCUGUUGUGUAAGCAUUAAUAAAAAAAGAAAGAAAGAAUGAAAACCACUCAACAAAGCUGCAAUGUUCUGACAUAUUACUGUGCAGAAUGUCCUAUUUUUUUCCAUUUUUAGAAAAAGAAAAUUUGAAAGAAUAGCACCUUGAACAUUAGGGUAAGAUCUGAUUCUGCAUGAAAGGAUUCCCUUUUUUUUUAAAAAGAUUUAUUUAUUUAUUUAUUUUUAUUUUAGAGAAAGAGAGAGAGCAAGCAUGCAUGUGCCAGUGAGCAGGGGAGGGGCAGAGGGAGAAAGAGAGAGAGAAUCUUAGGCAGGCUCCAUAGUCAGUGCAGAGCCUGAGGUGGGGCUUGAUCUCAUGACCCUGAGAUCAUGAUAUGAGCUGAAAUCAAGAGUCAGACGCUUAACCAACUGAGCUACCCAGCACCCCAAGGAUUCUCUUAAGUGAAAAUAUACUUUCAAAAAUGACUUUUCAUCAGGGAUCUGGAAGCAAGCUCAGUGUGACCACCAUGUUGACUCCAGUGGGACGUAUGAGGCACGUACACCCUAGAGAUCAAGGUGGGAGGCACCCAAAGAGCACCCCAUGUGGAGGAUGGCUCACCACCAUCCACAGGGUGCAGGGCCAUUGCCAAGUGUCCAGAGUCACCAGGGGCCCCUAGGAUCUACCACAAAGCUCCAGAACUCCUAGGACAAAUUACUGAACCAUAUUCAAGUCUGUCAUUUCUUCCUUCAUUCCUUCCUUCCCUCUCUUUUUUUCUUCACUCUCUCCUUCCUUACAUUUCUUUUGACUCCCACAGGCACAGUGUUACCUACCCCGGCUGUUUCAUGAACCUUGUGGUCACGCCACCCAUGCUGGAUUGAACUGGAUAUUUAGAACCUCACCUCAGGCACAGUCCCCACUAGGAAUGGUGGUAAUAAGGACAGAAAAGUAGUGCUACCGCUCCUGAGCCAUGUCUCCCUUGAUUGUUAUAAACUAAUAUUUGGAGGCAACUGUCUCCUAUUUCUCUGUACUUCAUUGAUGCGACGCCUAGACAAAUGUUGACAUUGCAUAGGAGUCCUUAGGUAUUCCAGAAUCUGGUGAAUGUUUUUAAUGAGCAUGGGUAUGUUUUCCACCAAGCUCUCCUUGGGCAGUUUUUAGUGACUUGUCAACAGAUCCCACAUUUAAUUGAAAAUAAAAGAACUAACAUGGAUUUUUAAAAUCUUAAUACUAAUUCUAAAGCCAGUGAAUGUUGCUGGUGGGGGUAGGUUUGGUACAUCCUCUCUGGAGAGCAACGUGUGUCAAAAAGCCUUACUGAUGUUUUUGCCCUAAAUCUAACAAAUUAAAUUUUAAUUAUAAUUUUACAAGUGAUACUGCUUGUAAAAAUGUGUCCUCAUAAUUAUGGAUGUGCACAAAGAUUUGUCUUCAAGGAUAUUUAUUGUGUGAUUAUAAUAGAGAAGAUCUGGAAACAACAUAAAUGUACAAUAAUAAAGCCUCAUUAAAUACAUUAUGAUACAAUCAAAAAAUGGAACGCAUUUGCAACCCUUAAAAAUUAGCUAUGGAGGAGAACGAACAACACAAAAAGUGCUUAUGAUCCAUUAGAGGAUAAACAGUUUUAAAAAGUCUGUGUAGUCUAAUCAAAUUUUGUCAAUUGAAAAAAAUGCUGAAAAAGAAACUCCCUCAAGGAGCUCAGUAAAUAAAUGAAUGAAACAUGACAUCACCUGCCACGUCCAGUACUUCUGCCGAAGCACUGUUCAUAUCACCCAUGAACAAACAUGGGAAUUCCCUCCUUGGGUGCCACCACCUUGGCUUAAAAAUCCUAACAUUUGUGGAUCUGGCUUUCUAAAUGUCAUCCUUACCUCCCUCCCAACCCAGACUCAUGAUUCCUUCCUGCCUGCCCUGCUUCUCCUAGUGCUUUGUCUUCUUCCUCCUAUCCAGACUCCCCUCUUCCCUGGCUACCUCAGCACCCUUCUCGAUAUCCACACUGUCAAGACUUCCUUAUUAUGGACCUCACCUCCUAAAGGUUUACAGAAAAGGGUGACAACUAAGAACCA